UACGUAGGGUGCGAGCGUUAAUCGGAAUUACUGGGCGUAAAGCGUGCGCAGGCGGUUUUGUAAGCCAGAUGUGAAAUCCCCGGGCUUAACCUGGGAAUGGCAUUUGGGACUGCAAGGCUUGAGUUUGGCAGAGGAGACUGGAAUUCCUGGUGUAGCAGUGAAAUGCGUAGAUAUCGGGAGGAACAUCAGUUGCGAAGGCGGCUCUCUGGACCAGCACUGACACUGAGGCACGAAAGCGUGGGGAGCAAACAGG
rnacentral:rRNA from 1 species